UACGAGGGAGGCUAGCGUUGUCGGAAUUACUGGGCGUAAAGCGCGCGCAGGCGGUCUUCCAAGUCAGUGGUGAAAGCCCGGAGCUCAACUCCGGAACUGCCAUUGAAACUGUGAGACUUGAGGAUGAGAGAGGUGAGUGGAAUUCCCAGUGUAGAGGUGAAAUUCGUAGAUAUUGGGAAGAACACCGGUGGCGAAGGCGGCUCACUGGCUCAUUUCUGACGCUCAGGCGCGACAGCGUGGGGAUCAAACAGG
rnacentral:rRNA from 1 species